GAGGAAUAUUGGACAAUGGGCGCGAGCCUGAUCCAGCCAUGCCGCGUGCAGGAAGACGGCCCUUCGGGUUGUAAACUGCUUUUCUCUGGGGUUAAUAAAGAUCUAUACGGUCCGAUGAAGGUACCAGAGGAAUAAGCCACGGCUAACUACGUGCCAGCAGCCGCGGUAAUACGUAGGUGGCAGGCGUUGUCCGGAUUUACUGGGUUUAAAGGGUGCGUAGGCGGUUGUAUAAGUCUGAGGUCAAAAGCUGUCGCUCAACGACGGUUCGCCUUGGAUACUGUAUAGCUAGAGUAAUUCAGAGGAAGCUGGAACGUGUGGUGUAGCGGUGAAAUGCAUAGAUAUCACACAGAACACCAAUUGCGAAGGCAGGCUUCUAUGAAUUAACUGACGCUGAGGCACGAAAGCGUGGGGAGCAAAC
rnacentral:rRNA from 1 species